GACGAACCGUGCGAACGUUGUUCGGAAUCACUGGGCUUAAAGGGCGCGUAGGCGGGUUCGAAAGUCUGUGGUGAAAUCCUCCAGCUUAACUGGAGAAGUGCCGUGGAUACUGCGAACCUGGAGGAGGGUAGGGGCAUCUGGAACGCUGGGUGGAGCGGUGAAAUGCGUUGAUAUCCAGCGGAACUCCGGUGGCGAAGGCGAGGUGCUGGACCCUUUCUGACGCUGAGGCGCGAAAGCCAGGGGAGCAAACGGG
rnacentral:rRNA from 1 species